rnacentral:lncRNA from 1 species
GCAACUUUUAAGCACCGCAUUUAGGCUAUUUCGUGGCAGUCAGUUUUUAUUGGUGGAGGAAGCCGGAGUGCCCGGAGAAAACCACCGACCUUCGAAAGGAAAACUGACUAUCCUAGUCAAUUAAGAUUGGAGUCGAGUGCACCCGCUCGAGCGGGGUUCGAACUCACAACCUCAGUGUUGACCGGCUAGUGAUUACAGUAGUAACUACUUAGACCACUCGGCCACCGAGGCCCCC